rnacentral:misc_RNA from 1 species
UUGAUAAGUUUCAUGUAUACUCAGACAUCAUUGAUAAAGGAGUUUUUGAAUGACUCUGGCGAGCACUCGCCAGCCGAAGCCAGCGGUGGGCCGAACCCAACGGCUCGCCAAAGCAACAAGAGUUUAAGAUAGACAGAGGGUUGGAGACUGGGCCACAGGGACCCAACGUCGUUAAUGAUCCUUCCGCAGGUUCACCUACGGAAA